rnacentral:rRNA from 1 species
AGAGUUUGAUUCUGGCUCAGAACGAACGCUGGCAGCGUGGAUUAGGCAUGCAAGUCGAACGGGAAGCCCGGACUUCAACUUUUCGGAGGAGAAGAUCGGGUGGAGAGUGGCGAAAGGGUGAGUAUCGCGUGGGUAACCUGUCUUCAAGUUGGGGACAACCGGGGGAAACCCCGGCUAAUACCGGAUAUGAUUAUCUGUCGCAUGGCAGAUGGAUCAAAGGUGGGGAUCUUCGGACCUACCGCUUGAUGAGGGGCCCGCGUACCAUCAGCUUGUUGGUGAGGUAACGGCUCACCAAGGCUUACGGUUAGCCGGCCUGAGAGGGUGACCGGCCACACUGGGACUGAGACACUGCCCAGACUCCUACGGGAGGCUGCAGUCGAGGAUCAUUGACAAUGCGCGAAAGCGUGAUCAUGCGACGCUGCGUGGAGGAUGACGGCCUUCGGGUUGUAAACUCCUGUCAUUCGGGAAAAAUAUGCCUGCAGUUAAUAUCUGCGGGAAUUGAUGGUACCGAAAGAGGAAGCCACGGCUAACUCUGUGCCAGCAGCCGCGGUAAUACAGAGGUGGCGAGCGUUGUUCGGAUUUACUGGGCGUAAAGCGUCGUAGGUGGUUUCGUAUGUCGGACGUGAAAGCCCACGGCUCAACCGUGGAAUUGCGCCCGAAACUGCGGAACUCGAGUGCAGGAUGGGAGAGCGGAAUUCUUGGUGUAGCGGUGAAAUGCGUUGAUAUCAAGAAGAACACCGGUGGCGAAGGCGGCUCUCUGGAAUGUUACUGACACUGAGGCACGAAAGCUGGGGGAGCAAACAGGAUUAGAUACCCUGGUAGUCCCAGCUGUAAACGGUGCGCACUUGGUGUGGGGGGAAUUGACCCCCUCCGUGCCGGAGCUAACGCGUUAAGUGCCCGCCUGGGGAGUACGGCCGCAAGGCUAAAACUCAAAGAAAUUGACGGGGGCCCGCACAAGCGGAGGAGCAUGUGGCUUAAUUCGAUGCAACGCGAAGAACCUUACCAGGGCUUGACAUCUAGCUGCACGUCUCCCGAAAGGGAGAAAGCUUUCGAAGGUGCUAGACAGGUGCUGCAUGGCUGUCGUCAGUUCGUGCCGUGAGGUGUUGGGUUAAGUCCCGCAACGAACGCAACCCCUGUGUUUAGUUGCCACCUCAGAUUUAUUCUGAGAGCACUCUAGACAGACUGCCCGUACAAGCGGGAGGAAGGUGGGGACGACGUCAAGUCAGUAUGGCCCUUACGCCCUGGGCUGCACACGUGCUACAAUGGCCGGCACAAAGGGAUGCAAAGCCGCGAGGUGGAGCAAAUCCCCAAAAUCGGCCUCAGUUCGGAUUGGAGUCUGCAACUCGACUCCAUGAAGUCGGAUUCGCUAGUAACGGCGCAUCAGCUACGGCGCCGUGAAUACGUUCCCGGGCCUUGUACACACCGCCCGUCACAUCAUGAAAGCCGUCUGCACCCGAAGUCGCUGAGCCAACUUUCACGAGAGGCAGGUGCCGAAGGUGUGGGUGGUGAUUGGGAUGAAGUCGUAACAAGGUA